UGGCCUCGGAGCUGGAGGCAGAAGCUGCAUGUGACUAGUGAUUUUGAGGCGGUCUGUGGAUUAUGUUCAUGGGGCGUUUGGGAUUGUCUGUCUGAGAAGACAGGUGUGUAUGCUGAGCAGCUACAGGGUUGGCUGGGUGAACAUGAUCAUUUCUGUUUCACCAACAUUCCUCACUUGAGAAGACCUUAUAUUUACAGGCCAGGCCUUGAGGUGCAUACACCACUUCUGCCCCAGUUCUGCCGCUUGAACUCAGGCCUGGGACCACGCCCACCCGGGUGGGAGGCCGGACAGUGGACUCCAGUUGUGUUCCCAGGAAGAAGAGGAAAGAAGCUGCUGCUGUUACAGUCGAAGGAAGGCUAAAGAAACACAACUAAACAUGAUGUAUUGUGGAUGGGAUUUGGGAACAGAAGGAAGACAUCAGGCAAAAGCCUAAGGAAAUCUAAAUAAAGCAUGGACUUUGGUUAAUGAGCAAGUGCACAAGCAGGGGGAGCUGCAAA